CGAAAAAAAAACGAGCGAUGUGAUUCGAAGAGGCCUCCAAGGAAUGUACACACGUUCACACACCCAAGCACAUACAUCCCGGCAUUCUUAUCCUCCGUGCCACCACCACUAUACUCCUUUGCCUCUGCUCCACCCUCCCCCCCUCACACACACACGCACACACGCACACACAUAUAUAUAUAUAUAUGCGUAGCGGCCUGGGGGCGACGUGCCACGCGCAGGCAGUGAAGUCAUGUGGAGAGAGUGGACAAGUAAGAUCAAAAGCUUUGCCGAGGACAUCGCGUCGCCCGACUACGACGACGAGAGGCGCUCUAGCAACGGCAAAUGUGAAGAUGAAGAGGUGGACGGUAGAGUAGAACACACCCACCACCUGCCCCAUGAUGAGCGCGGCCAUGCGCGUCACAGAGACGACGUGGGCGUGGCACGUGCGACAGCGCAUGCCCAGCACAACAGUGGUGUCAUCUAUGGUGGCGCUGGUAGUGCCUCCGCGCUGGAAACCCCGGCACGGCGCUUGGCCUCGCAGCACAGUGAACUGACGGGGGACCCGCAUGCAGGUGCCUGCGGCAGUGUCGACGCUGCCGCAUAUGCACGGGCGUCCUCGGUUUCGGCAGUAGCGACGCCAUCAUUUCUCUCACUAUCGCCAAGCCCACCUCCCACAGCAGCUGCGGGGACACGUCUUCCCGGUAACGUAGGGCCGCUGACGGCGUCUCAAGAAGCGGCGGCCGUCGCACAGUACAAUGGAGGCGCACAGACGCCGGCUGAAAGUCCAGGCGAUGACACUGUCGGUGCACACUCCUUCUCAUCCUCCGCCAGAGGCGCUCAGGCAGCAUCAGCGAGUACAGCAGGGCGCCGUGGUCCACCGCAGGCAAGAACGACUUCCAGUCCUCAGCCGGACACAUCCCAGCCUUUGCCGGCACAACUCUCAGCACCGCUCUCAUCGCCUUCUGCGGUGCCCAUCUCAUUUGUUCCGCCGGCGAAAUCUGCAGGGGCGGUGCUUCCUGCACCUGCGGUCACUGCAGCCCCGCCGACGCCGCCAACGCAACAGCAGCAUCUACCAGAGAAAUCGCAGAUGCUCGCUCAGCGCGUUGCUGCUCUCGAAGCAGAGAAGGCUCACCUGCGAAGUGACAUAGGCAAGUAUCAAGGCGAAGUACGCGAAAAACACGAGCAAACUGUUCAGUACUACGAAGCGAAGCUGAGGGAGGCCGCAGCGACGGCAGCGGCCACCGCCAGCGCGCCGGAUGCGAACGCGCAGCAGCAAGCAGACCCGCUGCGCGCUGCUCUCCAGGUAGCCGCGGACGAGCUGAAGGGAGAGAGGGCACUCAAAACAGCACUCGAGGGGCGCUUCGGCGAACUGCAGCAGGAGGCUGACGAGCUCCGCGCGAGUCUCGCCGCGGCUCAGAAGGAAGUAGCGGCCAUGACAGCGGCUUCCACUGCAGCAUCAGCACCUUCCGAGACACCCGACACGACCCCGCUACCUGCAGAGAAAGAUUGGGGUUGGCGUCAUUCCGAAGAGCUGAACAGCCUCAAAAACGCAGUGCACGAGAAGACCACGCAGCUAGCGGCACAGACGGCUCAACUGCAGUCCUCGGAGGCAAUUCGCCGUUCCCUGGAAGCUAAGUUGCAGGCGGCUCAGAGGGAAGCGAUGGCGAACAUCACGGACGAUCAUGACAAGAGUGCGGAUGCCGCGCGCGAAGAGCAGCACCGUCAUGCGCACCUUCAAAACGAGGUGGACCGGCUAAAAUGCGAGCUGGUGGCGGAGCGUCAUCGCUCUGCUAUGGCAGAGGCGCUAUUUGAGGAUGCCCAGCGGAAGAAGGAAGGCCACGCCGCGCAGCUCGCACAUGAGCAAGCCAUUUCGACAAGCGUCGCUGCUACUCUAGAGCCGACGAGGAAGUCGGCCUCUGCUUCCGCCGCCACUGCCGCUGCAUCGGCAGCUCACGAAGAAGAGCGGCAGCGACUCGCCGAAAAGCUCGACCACAUGCAAGCGGAGCGCGGCGUGCUGCAGCAAGAGGUGAGGCAGCUCACGGAGGCGGCGAGCCAGCUACAGUGCACGCUCGACACCCGGGAUCACGAGUACGCGGUGGCACAGGCAGAGUGGACCGAAGCCCAGAAGGCUUUGCUGGAGAAGCGAAGCGUUUUCGAGGCUCAGGUGGCGAAAGACCGGGACGCUUACCAAGAAAAGCUACAUCGAUUACAGACGCAGCUGGAAGCGGAGCAGAAGCGUGGCAAGGCGCUGGAGGCUGAUAAGCAGGCCGCAGAGCACGCUCGCACUGCCGCCGAGACGCAAGCGGCAUCAGCGGAGCAGCGAUGUGGUGUCAUGCAAGCGGAACUCGCAGCCCUCCAGCAGCAACUCAAGCGCCUCGAAGAGGCUGAGCAGGAUCGCCAGCAGCAGGAGCGGCAGCGCAUCACUGAGUCGGAGGCAAAGGAAAGUAGCGUCAGCAUGUCUUUGGCGGUCCUGACGCAAGUAAAGAAAGAGCUGGAAGGAAAGGUGCAGACGCUGGAGGUGAUGAUGGAUCAACUGCAGCGCAUGACAGUUGACACGCUGGUGCGCUUAGGCGUGGAUGUGGAGCGCGUGGUAGAGGAAAGCCGUAGGUACGGCGGUGGCACAGAGCGGGAGCCUUCGGGCGGCGACGACGGCGAAGAGGGCAACAGGGAAGGCGAGAAAGGUUGGGCAGCAGCGCGCACGGAAGUGCCGCUCCUGCAGCUCUUUUCAUUGCUGAUGACGGAGUGUCUGCAGCAGCACAGCAUCGUGCUGCGGGCAGAGCGGGUGCAGCAGGAGUGGGAGCAGACCUACGAACAGGCCCGUCGAGUCAAUGACUCGCUCAACCAGCAGAUGGCCGAUGCGUGGAGCGUCAUUGGGAAGCUGCGCGAGGAGUUGUCUCUGAAGGACGAAGCGGCGCGUCAGAUGAAGUCACGCGUGGACAGUGGCGACGCUCGGCUCGUGGAGGUGCAAGAACAGCUGGCCGGCGUCAUGCAUGAGCUGCAAGCGCUGCGCGAGGAGCGUGCGGGCUGGGCAGCGCGGCUGCAGCAGGCUGAGACUGGCGCAGAGGGACAGGCGAGCACUGUGUCCUCCUUGCAAGAGGAACUGAACACGCUACAGGACAUGCUGCAGGCAAAGGAGGAGGAGCUGCAGGCGUCCUUACAAAGCAGCGAAAACCUGCAGCUCGUGCUGGAUCGAAUCCAGGAGAGCAAACGGCAUGAGGUGGAGGCCUUGACGUUGGAGUCUCAGCUCGAGGCAGAGGAGCUCAAGAAGCAGCUGGUAGAGGCGCGGCGAAUCAGAGAUCAGCAUGAGAGCGAGGUGGCAGGUGUGCGCGAAGGCUUUGAGCGGCAGCUCGCAUCGAAAGACGCGGAGGUGACAACGAUGCACCGCAAGCUCGCGGAGAUGCGCAAGGCGCUAGAGAAGACAACGUCGCGGCACAUGGAGGGCUCGGAGGCGAGCAUUGACAAGCGCGUCGUGUCGCAGCUUCUCGCCAAGUACAUGCACGCCUUCCUUGCGCAGCGGAAGGAGGCAGAGGACAUGCUGAAGGUGCUCAGCGGUCUCCUUGACUGGGAUGAGGCAACGCAGGAAUAUGUAGGACUGUUGCCUGGGCCAAACAACCCGCAGCCGCCGGACGGACCUGCCACACAGCGAGGCGGUGCUCGUCGGGGCCUGUUCAGAUGGCUUCGUAGCGGAGGGGCGGAGUCAAAUGAGGCGGGACUGGCGUCCAAGUGGGUCGAGUUUCUGCUAAAGGAAAGCGAGAGCAGCGGAGGCGAUGGCCGUGCAAACCGCAGCGACGUUGGUGCCACGGCGUCCACUUCUGCUUUGUCUACCUUGGCCCCCGUCCAGGGCUCGCAACCCAUCCCCUCAUUGAGCUUCCCAUCACCUUCUCCGGCGGUGGAAACGGCGACAUCGGAGACUGCUGCAAGCCGCCGAUCGAUGUGAGAGGAUCCGCGCAGUUGCUUUCUCCCACGUCCGUCACCGUUAUGGGGGUCUUCGACGGGGGUCCAGUUUGUGCGAACAUCUACGAGCGCCUCUCGCCGAGUGCCGGCGUACGUUUCGCGCGUCAGCUCGCUUCGCCUUGGAGCCGAACGCGCUGGAUCACAUUUCUGUUCUAAGCACGUGGAGUCGUUUUCGCGAAGUACGCGCGCGCGAGCGUUUGUCAUGCACAUGCACACCGACUCUGUUUUAGCUUCGCUCUUCCUUGGAUGCCACCUCACUCCUGGUAUCCUUUCCGCUCUUCUGUUCCCGCAUGACGCGGUGGGAAGGGCACCCCCCUCCCCCUCCCGUGCGCGGUGUCGCACGGUCCAGCGCACUCCCACCCUCUUAUGAGGAUGGGCCAUGCAGCCCCCCACCCCCACCCACCCACUUCCGGUGGCGACGCGCUUAAGCACCGACGACGUGGGAAGAUCAGAGCGGUGUAUCGUUACGGGUGUGCCGGCGGUCAGGUCCUAGUUUGGCGCUGCGUUGGAGCGACCCGCGGCAGCGAACGCGUCUGUGCCAUCCGUGCGUUGGGCAAGCUGUCAGCCUAAACUCGACUUCAUCAAACCCGCCGCUUGCACUGCCUACAGAGUGGAGGAAAACCUGGGUGCCACCCCGAGGGGGAUGCACCGGAUGGCGGCCGGCAUAGUCGGCGCGGCUGUGAGGCGACCCGCGAGGCGUGUGGGUGCGCAGAGUGUGUGGCGCGGGCCGUAAUCAGAUGGCCGAGUCGGCGCAUUUGCGGUAGCGCGCGUGCCUACGGCAGGCUCCGGGUGGUAGUCGUGGUGGGUCGAGUGGCGUUCGGCUCAUGCUUUGGAAACGAAUGCAAACGUCGGGCAGCCAACAGCGAAUAAAGAGUUCCUCUUCUUGGAUCGGCCUCAUCAGCUUGUUUCUUUUCUUCUUCGCUAGCAAGUCCUUGCUGUGGUGUUGCACUGGCUCUGCUCAUUGUGUCUGUGUGUAUGUGUUGUUUGUAUGCAUGCCCGUGCAUGUUUUUGGUUGUCUGUGUGUGUGCGGUCGGCCGCGCAUCUCUUUCUUGGUUCUCGCACUCUCAUACCAGC
rnacentral:misc_RNA from 1 species